rnacentral:rRNA from 1 species
GAUGAACGCUGGCGGCGUGCCUAAUACAUGCAAGUCGAGCGAACAGACGAGGAGCUUGCUCCUCUGACGUUAGCGGCGGACGGGUGAGUAACACGUGGAUAACCUACCUAUAAGACUGGGAUAACUUCGGGAAACCGGAGCUAAUACCGGAUAACAUGUUGAACCGCAUGGUUCAACAGUGAAAGACGGUCUUGCUGUCACUUAUAGAUGGAUCCGCGCCGCAUUAGCUAGUUGGUAAGGUAACGGCUUACCAAGGCAACGAUGCGUAGCCGACCUGAGGGGGUGAUCGGCCACACUGGAACUGAGACACGGUCCAGACUCCUACGGGAGGCAGCAGUAGGGAAUCUUCCGCAAUGGGCGAAAUCCUGACGGAGCAACGCCGCGUGAGUGAAGAAGGUCUUCGGAUCGUAAAACUCUGUUAUUAGGGAAGAACAAAUGUGUAAGUAACUAUGCACGUCUUGACGGUACCUAAUCAGAAAGCCACGGCUAACUACGUG